rnacentral:lncRNA from 1 species
GUGGCUGUUGGUGCAUGCGGUGAAGAUCGGAUAGAUAGAGAUGUUUUAGACUCAGAUCAGGAUUGUGAUUUCAAUGCAGAUUGGGUUUUGGGGCCUGUAAAGAAGGCCUGACGGUCUGUGGAGAAAGAGGAGCAUCAGGGCAUCAUAGCAGAGCAUCAAAGAAGGUGUCAGGGGUGUCUCAAGGAGACUAGGAGGGGUCUGAGGGAGAGCUAGGGGCAUCAAGCAGUGGGAAGUGUCUUGAAACAGUGGGAGUGGCCUAGGGACAGGGGCUGGGGCAUGAUGUAGAGGCUAAGAGCAUCAUAAAGAGUGUCGAGGGG